GAAUGGCUUUGGUUCACCUGUAAUUCACAGUUUAGCUGAUCCAGUGUACUGUAAAGUCUGUUUCACUCCACCAGCCAACAAGGAGCAGGCGGCCGUGGUUUUCUCAUGUUCUGGGGGAAGCUGUUUGUCAGUGUUAACCUGGCUAACUUUGGACAGCUGCAACAACAACAUCUAUCCCUUGGCAUAUGGUGUGUUUAGAUGCUAAACACUGCCUCAUCUCGAAGGACUCUCGCCAUGUUGCCCAGACUCAUCUCAAACUACUGGACCCAGACAAUCCUCACACUUUGGCCUCCCAAAAUGCUGAGAUUACAGCUUACCUAAAGUUAACAUCUGAUGACAUGAUCGCAACUCCAUAUCCUGAGUUGAUUUCAACCUAUGAUGUUGGAAUUUUCCACAUGGAGAUAAACACUGGGAAGCAGCUAAUCAUUCUCUCUGGAUUUAUAAGGAACAAAUGGAUAAGUGAAACUUGAAAACAAUGGCCAAAGUACUAAGAACUAAUGUUUCUUCAACAAAACAAAUACUUUUACUUUAAGAACAGAAGAUAAAAGGCCAAAGUUGUAAUAUAAGACAAAUUACGGAAAUAUACACUUAUACAUAUAAAACCACUCCUCUUUUUAAAAAAUCAUGCUUUUUAAGAAGAAUCUUCUCAUAUCAGUGAGAAAGAAAGUUAUCUUAACAAACAAAAAGUAUUUUGAAAAAAAGCGUUCACAUGUAUAAGAAAGAAAAUGAACAAAUAAAUAGGAAAAAAGAUCUCUGGUUCAACCAUAUCAAA
rnacentral:lncRNA from 1 species